rnacentral:rRNA from 1 species
GCCGGUGACAAACCGGAGGAAGGUGGGGAUGACGUCAAGUCCUCAUGGCCCUUAUGGGUAGGGCUUCACACGUCAUACAAUGGUACGUACAGAGGGUUGCCAACCCGCGAGGGGGAGCUAAUCUCAUAAAACGUAUCGUAGUCCGGAUCGUAGUCUGCAACUCGACUACGUGAAGCUGGAAUCGCUAGUAAUCGCGGAUCAGCAUGCCGCGGUGAAUACGUUCCCGGGU